AAAGAACCAACAGGGAUUGCCCUAGUAACGGCGAGUGAAGCGGCAACAGCUCAAAUUUGAAAUCUGGCGUCUUUGGCGUCCGAGUUGUAAUUUGCAGAGGGCGCUUUGGCAUUGGCAGCGGUCCAAGUUCCUUGGAACAGGACGUCACAGAGGGUGAGAAUCCCGUACGUGGUCGCUAGCCUCUACCGUGUAAAGCCCCUUCGACGAGUCGAGUUGUUUGGGAAUGCAGCUCUAAAUGGGAGGUAAAUUUCUUCUAAAGCUAAAUACUGGCCAGAGACCGAUAGCGCACAAGUAGAGUGAUCGAAAGAUGAAAAGCACUUUGGAAAGAGAGUUAAAAAGCACGUGAAAUUGUUGAAAGGGAAGCGCUUGCAGCCAGACUUGCCUGUAGUUGCUCAUCCGGGUUUUUACCCGGUGCACUCUUCUACGGGCAGGCCAGCAUCAGUUUGGGCGGUUGGAUAAAGGUCUCUGUCAUGUACCUCCUCUCGGGGAGAACUUAUAGGGGAGACGACAUGCAACCAGCCCGGACUGAGGUCCGCGCAUCUGCUAGGAUGCUGGCGUAAUGGCUGUAAGCGGCCCGUCUUGAAACACGGACCAAGGAGUCUAACAUCUAUGCGAGUGUUUGGGUGUCAAGCCCGAGCGCGUAAUGAAAGUGAACGGAGGUGGGAACCUUUCGGGGUGCACCAUCGACCGAUCCUGAUGUCUUCGGAUGGAUUUGAGUAAGAGCAUAGCUGUUGGGACCCGAAAGAUGGUGAACUAUGCUUGAAUAGGGUGAAGCCAGAGGAAACUCUGGUGGAGGCUCGCAGCGGUUCUGACGUGCAAAUCGAUCGUCAAAUUUGGGCAUAGGGGCGAAAGACUAAUCGAA
rnacentral:rRNA from 1 species